rnacentral:rRNA from 1 species
AGUGAACGCUGGCGGUAGGCCUAACACAUGCAAGUCGAACGGCAGCACAGUAAGAGCUUGCUCUUACGGGUGGCGAGUGGCGGACGGGUGAGGAAUACAUCGGAAUCUACUUUUUCGUGGGGGAUAACGUAGGGAAACUUACGCUAAUACCGCAUACGACCUACGGGUGAAAGCAGUGGAUCUUCGGACCUUGCGCGAUUGAAUGAGCCGAUGUCGGAUUAGCAAGUUGGCGGGGUAAAGGCCCACCAAGGCGACGAUCCGUAGCUGGUCUGAGAGGAUGAUCAGCCACACUGGACCUGAGAACCGGUCCAGACUCCUACGGGAGGCGGCAGUGGGGAAUAUUGGACAAUGGGGGCAAGCCUGAUCCAGCCAUACCGCGUGGGUGAAGAAGGCCUUCGGGUUGUAAAGCCCUUUUGUUGGGAAAGAAAAGCAGCAGGUUAAUACCCCGCUGUUCUGACGGUACCCAAAGAAUAAGCACCGGCUAACUUCGUG